rnacentral:misc_RNA from 1 species
UUUCCGUAGGUGAACCUGCGGAAGGAUCAUUAUCGAGUUAGGGUCUCUGGCCCGCCCUCCAACCCUGUGUCUACUAUACCAUGUUGCUUUGGCGGGCCCGCGUUCGUCGCCGCCGAGGGGUUGAACCCCCUGGGCCAGUGCCCGCCGAUUGGCCCCUCUUAAACGCUUGAUCAACCGUGAAUGUCUGAGUAAAAAAAAAAUCAAGCAAAAAACUUUCAAAAACGGAACACUUGGUUCCGGAAUCGCUGAAGAAAGCAGUAGACUGGAAGUGCACACGUC